GAGCGUCUUCUCUCCUCUCUCUCUCUCUCUCUUCCUCCGAAACGACGCACGAGUGCUGCGGGCGUCUUCUGAUCACUUGCCCGCUCUCUCUCCCUUCAAAUCCAUUUCCUCCUAUGGGAAUGGGAUCGAUCACCCGCGGCAUGCAUCCACCAUUUCCAUUAGGGGAGCGGCGCAUCUCAUCCGUAAAGGCACAGGCGGAAGGUCAUCCGUGAGGAAGGGAGUAUGAGACAAGAAAUUACAGCUUUGAAGAAGUUAAUCAUGCUAUGGCUGAGCAGCUUGUAGUGGGUGACUGCAAUGUUCUCAACGUCUGUUUUUGGGGUUUGGGGUCUGACAAGAUCCGUAAAAUUGGAUUCAGAUCGCAUCCAACUCAGUUUACUUAAACUGGCCCUUCCACCAAAGAAGAUUUGAUGGAUCCAAGAUGGCACACAGUUGAAUGAUGUCACCAAAAAAAGACGUAGUUCCACUUGACGGUAAAAGAAAAUUGUACGACCUUUCCGAAUAACAUCAUGUACACGACCACAAUAGCAGAGGAAACGGCAAGGAACCGGCUUGUUAAACAGCUAUUACAGGCACUGUGGUCACUUGUGGAUUUUGCGAAGGAUCCUACUGAAACAAGAGAGCAACGGCAUGCAUGGACUUGGACCGAGAGGCAGCAAAGGAACCAUGCAUGCUGAGAUCACAAUCCAGUGAUGCACACGAGUAAGGAUGCAAACCAGCGACCCAAAAGUGGAUGAGAUGAAGAUGAUCGUGAUGUCUUCAAAGAUGGAGGCGAUCAUGGGAACUUUAGGACGGAACGUGAUGGAUGCCAUGGAAGAAGAGAAUAGACCGAGCAAAGAGGAUGCAAACAUGUCUAUUGGGGUGAAGUCGUCGUUGCUGGGCUUGGUCAAAACUUGCCCACCUUCCAUAGCGACAUAGGAUGAGAGGAGAGUCACUACCACGCCUAUAGCGAACAUGGGCAUUCCUCGGACGAAAGUGCGCAGAGUUGAGUGGCUGCUGUCCUCUCUUCCAUUUCCAUUUCUAUGAGGUGGGUUUGUGCAGGAGAGUUGGGUAUGCAGGCUCUUGCAGCUUCCCGUCUCAGACAUGAGGCUGUUGCAACUUAAUGGAGAUGGGCAAAAGGAUGUUUCGGUGGGUAAGUGUUCGUAGGGGUUCGGGUUUUAUACUUCGGACGGAAGGCUGAUUGGCCUUUCUUUUCAUUCGCCGUCUAUUCCGCGGAUGGCAUUGUCUUUGUCGGCCUCCGGCGCAUGAAAAUAGAAAAAUGCUCUCUCGGGCACUCCGAACUUUUUAACUUCCGCGCACAGCGCGUCCCGUUCAUCGCACGAUGGACGGCACCAACAUAUAUCUACACAUGAUCAU